rnacentral:tRNA from 1 species
GGGGUUGUGGCUCAGUGGUAGAGUGCUCACCUACCAUGUAUGGGGUGCUAGGUUUGAUCCUUAGCACCACA